CGAAAGCCUGACGGAGCAAUACCGCGUGAGGGAAGACUGCCUAUGGGUUGUAAACCUCUUUUUUCAGGGAGGAAUAAAAUGACGUGUACCUGAAGAAUAAGCAUCGGCUAACUCCGUGCCAGCAGCCGCGGUAAUACGGAGGAGGCAAGCGUUAUCCGGAAUUAUUGGGCGUAAAGCGUCCGCAGGUGGCAAUUCAAGUCUGCUGUCAAAGCACGGGGCUUAACUCCGUAAAGGCAGUGGAAACUGAAUAGCUAGAGUGCCGUAGGGGUAGAGGGAAUUCCCGGUGUAGCGGUGAAAUGCGUAGAGAUCGGGAAGAACAUCGGUGGCGAAAGCGCUCUACUGGACGGCAACUGACACUCAGGGACGAAAGCUAGGGGAGCG
rnacentral:rRNA from 1 species